rnacentral:rRNA from 1 species
CAGUAGCCGCGGGAAUACGGAGGGUGCAAGCGUUAUCCGGAUUUAUUGGGUUUAAAGGGUCCGUAGGCGGAUCUGUAAGUCAGUGGUGAAAUCUCACAGCUUAACUGUGAAACUGCCAUUGAUACUGCAGGUCUUGAGUAAAUUUGAAGUGGCUGGAAUAAGUAGUGUAGCGGUGAAAUGCAUAGAUAUUACUUAGAACACCAAUUGCGAAGGCAGGUCACUAAGAUUUAACUGACGCUGAUGGACGAAAGCGUGGGGAGCGAACAGGAUUAGAGACCCCUGUAGUCCCUGUCUCUUAUAC